AUUGAACGCUGGCGGCAGGCCUAACACAUGCAAGUCGAACGAGUGGCGGACGGGUGAGUAAUGUCUGGGAAACUGCCUGAUGGAGGGGGAUAACUACUGGACACGGUAGCUAAUACCGCAUACCAUCGGAUUUGCCCAGAUGGGAUUAGCUCGUAGGUGGGGGAAAGGCUCACCUAGGCGACGAUCCCUAGCUGGUCUGAGAGGAUGACCAGCCACACUGGAACUGAAACACGGUCCAGACUCCUACGGGAGGCAGCAGUGGGGAAUAUUGCACAAUGGGCGCAAGCCUGAGGCAGCCAUGCCGCGUGUAUGAAGAAGGCCUUCGGGGUGUAAAGUACUUUCAGCGGGGAGGCGUUACCCGAAGAAGAAGCACAGGCUAACUCCGUGCCAGCAGCCGCGGUAAUUC
rnacentral:rRNA from 1 species